rnacentral:rRNA from 1 species
CCCUUAGAUGUUCUGGGCGGCCCGCGCACUACAAUGGCGUGUGCAGCGAGUGCCGAAGUAGAGUUUUCCGAGGUAUUCUUGCAAUGCUCGUUUUGAUGGGGAUAGACCCUUGCAACUGUUGGUUUUGAACGAGGAAUUCCUUGUAAGCAUGGUUUAUCAUCCGACGCUGAAUGCGUCCCUGCACUUUGUACACACCGCCCGUCGCUCCUACCGAUGAGUCGUCCGGUGAAGUUCGUAGACCUCGUGAUCGCGGAUCACUGGGGGAAGCAAAAUGAACCUCGCGGUUUAGAGGAAGGAGAAGUCGUAACA